rnacentral:tRNA from 2 species
UCCGGCGUAGCUCAGUCGGUAGAGCGGGUGGCUGUUAACCACUAGGUCGCAGGUUCGAGUCCUGCCGCCGGAG